rnacentral:rRNA from 1 species
AGCGAACGCUGGCGGCAGGCCUAACACAUGCAAGUCGAACGAACCUUCGGGUUAGUGGCGGACGGGUGAGUAACACGUGGGAACGUGCCUUUUGGUUCGGAACAACUCAGGGAAACUUGAGCUAAUACCGAAUGUGCCCUUCGGGGGAACGAUUUAUCGCCAUCAGAGCGGCCCGCGUCUGAUUAGCUUGUUGGUGAGGUAAAGGCUCACCAAGGCUACGAUCAGUAGCUGGUCUGAGAGGAUGAUCAGCCACAUUGGGACUGAGACACGGCCCAAACUCCUACGGGAGGCAGCAGUGGGGAAUCUUGCGCAAUGGGCGAAAGCCUGACGCAGCCAUGCCGCGUGAAUGAUGAAGGUCUUAGGAUUGUAAAAUUCUUUCACCGGGGACGAUAAUGACGGUACCCGGAGAAGAAGCCCCGGCUAACUUCGUGCCAGCAGCCGCCGUAAAAC